rnacentral:rRNA from 1 species
GUACACUCCUGCGGGAGGCAGCAGUGGGGAAUAUUGGACAAUGGGCGCAAGCCUGAUCCAGCCAUGCCGCGUGAGUGAUGAAGGCCCUAGGGUUGUAAAGCUCUUUCACCGGUGAAGAUAAUGACGGUAACCGGAGAAGAAGCCCCGGCUAACUUCGUGCCAGCAGCCGCGGUAAUACGAAGGGGGCUAGCGUUGUUCGGAUUUACUGGGCGUAAAGCGCACGUAGGCGGACUAUUAAGGCAGGGGUGAAAUCCCGGGGCUCAACCCCGGAACUGCCUUUGAUACUGGUAGUCUUGAGUUCGAGAGAGGUGAGUGGAAUUCCGAGUGUAGAGGUGAAAUUCGUAGAUAUUCGGAGGAACACCAGUGGCGAAGGCGGCUCACUGGCUCGAUACUGACGCUGAGGUGCGAAAGCGUGGGGAGCAAACAGGAUUAGAAACCCCUGUAGUCCCAUGAU